GGCUAAUUGAUAGGAACAGAAGUCUAACUAAGGUUGCAUGUAGAGGAAAAAGAAUUCAGAGCUGGUUGAUAUAUUCUAAAAGGAUUAAGAAGACACUAAAAGCAAUGAGAGCUGUUAUGCUAGCUCAGCCAAUUCUGUUAGAGGAAUACUGAUAGCAUGUGAUGCGGUAGCCUAAGUUUGUUAUAUACAGGAGAGGAAGGGUUAAGUAAGAGGCAUGUACUGUGUGGUAUUUUCUUCCAGCUAAUUAAUAGCUUAGGGGAAGUAAGACUACUACUGGGUGAGAGAGAUAACUUUUUAUCUUGUCUCCACCUGCACCCGUUUGGGUAUUGUAAAUAAAAAAACCCUCUAUCUUCUUCCUACUAUCAUUUCCUUUUUCUAUUCUUUUUGUGUAUUUUCUAGUUCUGUGUUUUCCUUUCUCUAUCAAUUAUUCUGACCUACCAUUCAAACAGAUUAGAGAACACAGGGAUGGCACAGACAACCACAUCACCACUAGAAUGUAAAACCCAGAUAA
rnacentral:misc_RNA from 1 species